rnacentral:misc_RNA from 1 species
GCUGACCAAGUAAUCAAAGCUGCUGAUAAAGCCAGAGCUUUCAAACAAGACUGCGCUGAACUCAAAUCCAAGACUGAAAAGCUUGCCUCUUUACUCCGGCAAGCCGUUCGAGCCAGCUCCGACCUGUACGAGCGGCCUACGCGCCGGAUCAUUGACGACACAGAGCAAGUCCUUGAAAAGGCUCUGGCCCUCGUACAAAAAUGCGAACCUAACGACCUCAUGACCCGCGUUUUCACCAUACUCCCG